GUUUCACUGUGUUAGCCAGGAUGGUCUUGAUCUCCUGACCUCGUGAUCCACCUGCCUCGGCCUCCCAAAGUGCUGGGAUUACAGGCGUGAGCCACUGCGCCUGGCCUCUACUUCUCAGACGAGGGCCUCACUCUGUCACUCAGGCUGGAGUGAAGUGGUGCAAUCACAGUUCACUGAAACCUUGAACUCCUGGGUACAAGGAAUCCUCCUGUCUGGAACUACAGGCACAAGAUGAUUUUUCACCUAGUGGAGUCAUUGAACAGUGGUCUUCAAAUUGGGAUUAUUUCCAAGAAUAGAUUAAAAUGCCAUGAAAAAGAAAAAAUUAUAGAAAAGCAAAAAGAGCUGAAUGCAGUGAAUGAACAUCUGUGAAUGAAGUUGAGAAGGUAUAUGUGGGGCAGACUAGAAUUGCAGUGCACAGAUACAAGAAUGUUGCCUGCUUUGGAGCCAAGACUGCCUUCCGGAUAAAGGGCCCACAGAGAGCUGAGAGCUGUGUAAUACCUCAAAGACUGAAGAAAAGAGUUAGACAGCCAUCUUUCCUUAGAGGAUUUUGCUGCAGACAGCUUGAACUACCAGAAGGUUAUAUACUGACCAUGGGUAGAGUAAGGAAGAAAUACAUCCUUCGGAAAGGACAAUGAAGAUCUUUACAGCAGGGUCUUGCCUCAUCACUGCCAUGACAGGGGGGUCCAAUGUGAGGAUUCUGGUGUCUAUGCCAAGCAUCUCUUUUCCAACGUAGAUCUGAUUUCUUAACAUAGCCAACAGCAAGUCAACAUCAGCUUUGCAGAGAAAAGCAGGGAUGCGUGUGCACAAAGAAAAGGCCAUGUGAGGACAUAGCAAGAGGGAAGCUGUCCGCAAGCCAAGGAAAAAGGCCUCAGGAGAAACCAAAUCUGCCAAUACAUUGAUCUUGGACUUCCAGCAUUCAGAAAUGGAGACUUGUAUUUUCUGACAUUCAACUUAAUCGAAGAAUAAAGCUUUAACAGUGGCAUCAGUGACAUGAUGAAUGAUGCAUCAUUUUGAAGUAAUAAUGGUUUUCCCAGUGACUCAGAAAUAGCAGUAUGUUCAGAUUCAGUGUGCCUGUUCAUGAGAGCUCUGCAGAAAUUGCACAUCUGGCUCUUUGCCUGUGCACCUGAAGUUAUCUCAGGAGAAAUUAUACAAAUUAAAUACAGACACAGAGAAGGUCUUUUUUAAUUCAAAGGAAAAGAAUAUAUAUUCAAGAAAAGCAAAAAAGCUGGUUUAAGACAUUCCUGGAAGGACACUGUGAAAGGAGACAAGUAGAAAAGAGCUUUCUUCUUCUAUCUGCUGUGCUGCUUUUCAACGUGACAGCCAAUCCAGAAGCAUGUGGCAAGCCUGGUGGCACUCACACCAGUGGUUCAUAUGGACAAGCUGCGGUCAACAUUCAGGAUGUUUUCUCAUCACCUAGCAGGCUACUCCUGUACAACACCUAUGACCAUGGUCUCUGGAAAGAUCUUCACUAUCACGUGCACUUACUUCAGCAUGUUUCUUUACCACUAGCAGUCUGCAUGUUCUUGCCCUUGCCAGAAAUACCUGAAUCUCUAUUAGCAGGGGACCUCGUCUAAGUUCUUAGUUCCUUCCUGAUUCACACUCUCUUAGCUCUAGAAGUGGUAGUUGUUUCCUGCAUUUGUGACUUUAAAACCAUUCAGUAUUCUUUUUUACCCCUUUCCAUAGUUAACAAAUAUGUAUACUGAAUUUUUCCUUCUUUAAAUACUAAUAUAUUUUCUAUUCCCUAACUGCAUCCUGACUAAUACAAAUACUAAAGGAUUUUCUCAGGCAGAAAUAAAAAGAUUCCAUAAUGGAACACAGGAAUCAAGAAAUAAAUGAGAAGCAAAGGUAAAAGUAAAUAUAAAUAUGAAAACUUAUUGACUGCAUCAUCAUGUCUUCUGAAGUUUAUAAUAUGUAAUGAAAUAAAAUGCAUGGCAACAAUAUCACAAAGGGUAGGAGAAUUAAUUCAGUCAAAUGAUUCUUACAUUCUUGCAUUUUCCAGGAAAAAGUUAAAGUACUAAUUGCAUUAGAUUUUAAUGUCAAGAUGAAUAAUGUAAUAGUGAAGAUAAUCCCUGAAACUAUAGUAUAUCUAAGUAUAAUUAAAACACUAAUGGAGAAGAAAUACUGAAUAAUAAUGGUACUAAUAAUAACAAUACUGGUCAUUACAGAAAUAGCUGAUAAAGUAGCGGAAAACAGGCAAAUAUAUGAAACAAAAAUCAAACAUUGACAGGAUGUUAAAUAUAAGCUAGAUACAAUAAUUAUUAUAUUAAUGGUAAAUGAAUUUUGAAACUCCAAAUAAAAUACACAUAUCAUCAUAUUGGUUUAAAGUAAAAUCAAACCCAAUUUCAUACUAAUUACUGCACAAACUAAGAUACAGAAUUUUACAGAAAUUAAAGAAAGUAAAAAAAAAGAACAAACAAAUAUUAUCCAAAAUAAAGCUGACAGUUUCAAUUUUUUUAAAAGGGAUAUUUCAAAAGGAUAAAAAAUUUUAAUUCUCAAUUUUCAUGGACUUAUUAACAUUCUCCUAGGAUAUAUAAAGCCAAACUUGAUAGAAUUUUUAACUAGGAGAACUAGAUAAAUCAAUUACCAUAAUGGGAGAAUUUAAAAUGCCACUGUCGCUAUCUGAUAGAAAAAAAAAGAUCUAUAAAAAUGGUGCUUCCUAUAGAUAUUUUAUAGAAACCCUUUAUCAACUUAAAGACAUUCUUCAUGCCUUAGUUAUCCAAGCACUUUAAAAAAUCAUUAUACAUAGUGACUUCCGCUGAAUAAAUUUUCUGUAUAUUGUGAUGAUAAU
rnacentral:lncRNA from 1 species